rnacentral:lncRNA from 10 species
GUUCUAGACACUGGGGUCAAAGGCAGUGAAUAAAACAAAUUUGCAUUAAAUAGUUCAAGUUCUAGGGGAAGGAAGCAGACUGCUAACAAACACAUAAACGCAGACUACAUUAAGAAGUGAUAAGCACAGUGGAGAAAAAAGUCAGCAGAGUAGAGAUGAUAGCAUUGCUUGAUACUAUUAAUAGUUUAUAUAGAUUGCCUGGGAAGUACUUUCUGAGGAGGCUGGGGAGAAGUGAGGAGCUGGCCCUGUGGAUACCAUGGUGGAAAAGUGUCCAGGUAGGAGGAAGAGCAAGGCGUGAGGCCCUGAGGUGGGAACACGUUGGCACAUUGUAGAGCAGCCAGAAGGCAGGCAUGGCUGUAGCAGCAGCAGAAUAGGGAGGUUGGCAGGAGAGGAAGCCAAGGAGAAGUGAGUAGUCCAGUUCAUGGGGAACUUGUAGGGCAUGGAAUUCAUGUUGGGUUUUACCCCAGGUGAGAUGGGAGUCGUUGGAGGGCUUUGGGCAAAGCAGUGGCCACAGUGUGAUUCAGCAGGUUAAAAAAGAUCCUGCUGACUCCCACAUGAACAACAGUCUGAAGGGCAGCAAGGAUGGAAACAGGGAGACCAAUUGUUAAGAGGCUACUGCAACCAUUGAGGCAAGAAAGGAGCAUGGCUGCCUGAAGUGAUGAGAAGUGUCAGAUUCUGGAUCUAUUCCUCAGGAAAAGGCUUCAGGAUCUGCUGAUGGUUUGAAGUUGGGGUGUGAGCAGGAAGAGCCCCUGAUGACUCCAGGGCUAAGUAACUGGAAGAAUGAAGUUGCUAUGUCCAGAGAUGAAAAAAUCUCAGAGAGGAGCAGGUUAAUGAUAAUCAAGAUGUUUCUUUUUUCUUCUUUUUCUUCUUUUUAAUAGAGAUGGAGUCUCGCUCUGUUGCCUAGGCUGGAGUGCAGUGGUGCGAUCUCGGCUCACUGCCAACCUCCGCCUCCCAAGUUCAAGCGAUUCUCUUGCGUCAGCCUCCCGAGCAGCUGGGACUACAGGCACGUCACCACGUCCAGCUAUUUUUUUUUUUUUUCAGUAGAGAUGGGGUUUCGCCAUGUUGGCCAGGCUGUUCUCAAACUCGUGACCUCAGGUGGUCUGCUUGCUCCAGCCUCCCAAAGUGCUGGGUUACACCACACCCAGCCAGGAUGUUUCUCUUAAAUAUGUUACAUUUGAGGUGCAUACUGGAGCUCCCAUGGAGAGGGCAGGGAAGGUGGAAAGAGGCAAGUUGAAGAGAUUCUUUUGCCAUUCUUCAGAUUACAUGUUAUUUAAAGUCAUAGACCUCAGUCAAAAUCCCCAAGGGAUUAAAUGGAGGUAGAGAAGAGGACCAGUCCUUGGAGUGCUACAAUGCAUGGAGUUAGUAAGAGGAAGAGGACCCGGCAAGAAAGCUAUGAAGGAGGGGCUUGCUAAGUUAACCCUUGAACAACACGGAUCUGAACUGCAUGGGUCUGCUUCUGCCUCUGCCACUCCUGAGACAGCAAGACCAAGACCAACCAUUCUUCGUCCUCUUCCUCCUCAGCCUGCUCAAUGUGAAGAUGACAAGGAUGAAGUUCUUUACGAUGAUUUACUUCCACUUAAUAGGGAGAAAUGGCACAUUAACAAAAUUCCAAUAAUGAAUAUGAUGGUGACAAAGCAGAGAGAAAGCACAAACAAUAGGAGGAAAUGUUGAAAGAUUCCCUUUCAUCUCCUAACGGCAGUCUGAGGCUGGACAUGUCUACUCCUGGGAAUAGAAUCCAAGGGCAAAAGUCCCUCACGAUAAGGAGGCCACAUUUUGAGCUGAAACGUAUGAACACCACAGCUUCAGGGCCAGGCAAAGUUGGGUUUGUGUCCCAGCAGUACAACUCUCCAGACUUUGAGCCUCACUCUCCUCUUCUAUACAAUGGAGCCAAUGACACCUCUUUCCUGUGUAUUAGAAACACCACCUAAGAAGAUGUAGAUAAAGUGACUGCAAGGAAUUGCUAAUGGCUGCAGCUAGAGGACUAAAGUCAGAACUCUGUGAAGAGGACAUCAGUUUGCCACUUUCUCUGUUCAGUAAAAAGGCAAUUUUUGUGGAGACCAUGCUCCACUAACUCAUAGGAAAGCAUUUUCUCCCUGUGACAUCUCCAGUCGAUUUCAGCCGGCAGUAACCAAGUGACUAACUCUUCCUCCAGGGGCAAAGAGCCAGACCUGGUGUUUGACUUCUCCCUAGCCUCCCAAGUGCAGAGAUGAUUCCUACCGGAUACUGGUCCUUGGAGGAAAUGGGAGAGAAAUUCAGCUUUGGCUUUAGCAAUUCAACUGAUAAAGGAGGCAGGGAAAAAGCUAAGUGAGACAGAGAGACUACAAAGCCCUCUUCCUGGAUCCUGGCAGAUGCCAAAGGAAGAAUCUGCGAGUGAGUAAUUCUGCAGCCUGGAGCCCAAAGGCUGCAGCCAGAGGUCUGUGCCAAGAAGGCAGCGGGUGCAGGAGAGGUGGGCGGCUCCUGGGCUGGCCUUAACCGGAUGGGGGACAGCUCAGUGUGAGUCAGAGGCUGAGCCUCUGCUCCAAGGGCCUCCUGCAGGCCACAUCCAUUCAGAUAGGCCUCCCACGAAGGAAGCUUUCCCCUGCAUAGACUCAGGUGGCCUUUAUUGUGAUAGUGUGUCAUCAGUAGGCAUUGCAUGCAGAUGAUAGAAAAUUCCUGCGGUCCAAGCACAAGUCUGCACAAAAACAGAACAGAUAGUCAAGGACGCAGGUAUCAGGUCUGUGCCCAGGUUGUGGGCUGCCGAACUCCCAUGCUGAAAAUGACAACAGCUAUCAUUUAUUGAGAGCUCACCUGGUCCCAUCACUGUGCAAAGUGCAAGCCAGCUCCAAAGCCCUUAUGUGCAACUACUAAACAUUUUGGUCUCCAGAGUGUACAGUAGAGCUAGGAGAAUAUUAGGUAAGCCAGUUCUCUAACUACCUCAGUUUCCCCAUUGCAAAAUGGGGAUGAUAUUUGCCUACAUUAUGGGUUACUUUGAGAACUGCAGCACAGCAAUUCAAAAUCCAGGCUUUUGAGUCAAAAAGAUCUGGGUUCGAGUCCCAGCUCUGCCUCUGAUUUGCUGUGUGAGCUUGAGCAAAUGUCUUAUCCUCUGUGAGCUUCAAUUUCCUCAUGUUUUGUGGAUCGUAAGAGAACCAACCUCAAGGGUUAUGACAAAAAUUAAAUGAGAUAACAUAUGAACCUGCUUCCUCAUCUGUAAACCAGAGAAAAUAAUACACAUUUUUCUCAUUGUUGUGAAGAGUAAAUAACAUUUUAAGAUGGUUUAUUAAUAUAUUUCAUAUUCAGUAGGUUCAUGGUUAUUAUUAUCAUUAUUACCAUUUCCAUCAAAUAAGCCAUUAUAUAAAAAGUUAUUGAUAAAUUUUAAGAGGCUGUUUUUGAUCAAAAAUAUAUUGUUUACUAUAUUUAAACAAGGCUCUAAAUGUGGUAAUUAGUAUUUUUAUUAUAACUGCCAUUUUCCUCAUAUACUACAAUCUCAGUAUGGGGCAAGGGAGCAAAAAACUCACUUGAUCUCUCUGAGUUCCUUUUCAGGAGAAAUUUAGGUUACAUUAGGAUUUUCAACCUCAGACCUGUGGACCCAAAAGGGUCUGGGAAAGUAGUAAAGGCAGUGAGAGAAGGGUACCUAGAGGUAUUUUCAAUAUUCCAAAAGGUAUGGGAAAUCAUAUACUUGUCAAUAAUGUGACCUCCACAGACUAUCUUGAAGACCAAGUUUCUUUUGCUUCAGGUUGAAAUUGUAGUGGCUUGGCAUGGCACUACUAGUUAACUGCUGUUCCCCCGACCUUCUAUCUGGCUGAAGUGUGGGCAAUAGACAAGCUCUGUUAAUACCGUGGGACUCUGGAGCCAGAGUCCCUGGCUCCCCACUUAUCAGCUGUAUAAACUUAGGCAGGAUUUAUAACCUUUCUGUGCCUCAGUCUCUUCAUCUGACAAUACUGGAUAACAAUAUUGCUUCCCCAUGGAGCUAUCAUAAAGAACCAUAUAAGUAAAGCAGUUAGGAUAGUGCCUGGUCCACAGUAAUCACUCCAUAUGAUGAACUCAGUUGUCAUUGUCAUUGCUAUCAGAUUUCAAGAAACACCUUCCC